rnacentral:lncRNA from 1 species
AAGAGCUACUAUGUACAAUACAUUUGAAUCAACAGAGACAUGGAGGAGAGGAGUUCAAUUCCUGUUCGUCUUAUCGUAAUAAAUUUAUUUGUUUUUUUGUGCCUUCUUUUCAUAGUUUAUUUCAUUCAUAUGGCUACUCUAGAGGCGCGGGAGCGUGGGCUUAUCAAUUAUAGUGGACAAAAUGGUGUUAUCUCCGAAAUGGAGAUUAUUAUUUGAAUGGCAUAUUCAUUGGUUAUUGGUGGCAAAAUAAUAAGUUUGUAUUGGUCCUUCAUAUUUGUACAAUUCCUCAAAUCUGUCCUUUAAAAACGUCCCUCAAAUAAAGUAGUGUUCUCAUAAAUAAUUAAAAAAGGCACUACUUCAAUGUGUAUUUCACUUUUCACAUGGUGUUAACUUCCUAAGACAAAAAUUUACAAUGUACUUGAUUGUCAACUGUACAUGUUUCUCCUUCUUCCCCCUAAUGAGUGUUCUAAACGUUGAUUGGUGGAAUUGUAAUUAGUUCAUGUUAAGCUGAGAGUAAUCCUCAACAGUUAGUUGGGAAGAAUGGACCAACUGCAACUAAUUUUGAGCCUUAUUCUCUCUGUUUCUUAUUUGAGGAGAGGUUGCAAGAUCAAGGUAUUGACGUGUCCAGUAAACAAAUUCAUUUUGGGACGUCAAAACUUUGUUUCAACCUGAAUAGGUGCGGACAAUAUGUAAUUGAAAUAUUACAUAAAUGAAGAAUCUAAUCAUGGAACUCUUAAAAACUGAAUGGAUAACUAUGUAGUUAAUUAUGUUCAUCGUCCUUGUCAUAUUGACUUUGUUUUCGUGGAUCCAGAAUGUAUUUCUUUCUUGCAAAGUUGGAUCGUUCAGCUCUAAUAAUGUACCCAUGUCCAAUACUGUUGUAUGAUGUUUUUCAUUAAAUAAAAAUUUGGUAUAACUAA